CCCGGGGAGGAGUACCUCAUCAUGGGCUACGAGAACGAGGAGACCUCCAGGUUGCUCCUGAUUGACGGCUCCAUUGCUCAAAGGUGGAGGGAAAAAAUGGGCAGGAAGGUCAAGAGAUGGGAUAAGAUCAUGCAGGGGAGAGGCCGAGGAGCUCAGCGCCAGGGUCGCCACUGAGAUCUGAGUGUGUGUGUGUGUGUGUGUGUGUGUGUGUGUGUGUGUGUGU